GUAACGAAGAGUAUGGGUAGUUAGUCGUUAAAACGAGACGAAACGAGAUAUUUAACGACUAACGGGUUAAUAUCCUAAAUAUCUAAACCUACCCUACCCCAAACCACCCCCCAACCAACCAAACCCACCCACUCACAUUUAUUACACGGCUAUAUCAGCCAACUCACACAACAACAAACACAUUCACACACACAACACCUAAAACACACACACACUUCACGCCAUUUUCAUUUUAGCUUGAGCUCAAGCUUUUGACUUCCGAUUUGAGCACCGAGACGAGCGCCGAUCAUCUUUUCGAUCACGUAUCUAAGUAGGUCCUGUUGGGAAGUAACGACUUGAGGGAGAGAGUGACGUUACUCAUUGAUACAGAGACACAACGAGGUUGAGCUGAUGUGAUGAUGGUGCUGCAAUGAGCGGAGUCUCCAGGGUUGUUAAUAAAUAGUUAACCUGUCUAGAAUAUGUCUUCAUACAUAUGUCUAGCUACUUUCCGCUGCAAGAUGUUGUUGAUGUUAUAGUAUGUUAUGUCAUACUUUGAGUCUUAAGAGAAUGGUUUCAUAUGAUGUAUAACUUGAUUAAUGAUAUUAAUUAAGUUUUAUGAUGUCUUUCAUAGACUGUUUUCAAUUGAGUAUUAAUGAAUAAAAAUGAC